CUGAUCCCAUACUACAGCACAGAGAGUGAGAGUGAAAGGGAGGUGGGACAUCAGGUGUCACAGCUCCACAGCCCCAGAUGAGGCUGCAUCACCACGACAACCGGGGUGCCGGCAGGUGCCCUUUGUUAGAAGCUGCCCAUGUGAUUGCAGAUCUUGGUAAAAGGGCUCCAGUCUAGUAUGUUAGACAUGCUCUUUGUACCUCACCGGCCAAGCACCCAACCAUCCACCCAGCCAGCUAUCCUGCAGUCUACCACUCCAUCCAUCCAUCCUUCCAUCCACCCAGUGAAGCGGGGCCAGCACCAGCCAGAACUGGCAACCUGCAGGAGUCAUCAGGGUUAGUGCUCGUUUGGCACGCCUCAGUGUCAGAACCAUCUGCAAGCAUCUGGCUGCAACUUGUAAAUUCAUAGAUCUGCAUUACCUCAAAUGAAAAGAGGCCUCAUUCUUAUAAGUCAUUUAUUCAAGUGUGAUAAUGUGCCGUUUUCUUUGCUUUUUCCUUUAAACUCU